UCCAAUUUACUAGCAUGCAGUCUGGCUUCUCAUACAAUGACAUCGAAUUCAUUGGCAUAAAGGAAAGAAGAGAUGAUUCCUCAAGUACAACAUCUGGGAUUGGUCCAGAUAUAUUGGAGCAGUCAAAACCUUCAAACCGAAAAAAGCCUUACAAAAGUAAAGCGGUAGAUUUGUAAAUAAACUACUGUUACCUAAGGGAACAAACUAUCUGAUGUCAUUUUAUGUUGAUGAUGUCAUCAUAUGUUGAUGUCAUCAUAUUGCGAUGAUGUCAUCGUAUGUUGAUGAUAUUAUCAUAUGUCGAUGAUGUCAUCAUAUGUUGAGAAGGUAUCCUGUGCGGGCAUCAUUAUGCUGAUGAUGUUACCACACAAUCGUAUGUCGAUGAUAUCUUCUAUUCAACAUGCAAAGCUAUGCAAUGCAAUAUCAAUGGAGCUUCCUGGAGUGUCAAUCAAACUAAACAACUGACCAAUCAGAACGUCUUAUACAAUAGGCAGGCAAUAGACUCAUUUCUAACAUGCAAGUUUACGUUUACGAUUCAGCAAGCUCAGCCAUGAUUCUCUAUGAAUGGCUGUCGUUUUAUAGGGCUUUAGCAACAAUAUUCAGAGGUGGGUCCUAGCGGAAAUAUAUUGAAGAGUAAAGGAGAAACUAUCACUCUAUCAUUUUUCCAUGUCUAAUAUUUGGUUAACAGGAAGUUUUCAUGACUGACACUUGCAACACUUUCAAACUGUUUCAAUGUAGUUAAUGCAAUAGGUGAUAACCAGUUUUGUGCCAAAUUUCUGAGUCAUCUCUAAAACAUUUUAAGUUAUGGGGUCGCCUGAAUGCGAAUGCAAUCCAAUUUUGUCUUCCAGUAGUUGUCUUUGUUUAUUAUGUAGGUGUAUGCUUAAAUUUAUGUUAAUAUUGUACAGUUCUAUAAUAGUAUUGAAUGUACAUUGUUUCAUUGGGCCAUGAUAGUAAGCGCCAAAUUCCAUGUGAAAAUAGCCAUUAAUUCUGUACUUAGGAAAGUUUUAGUAGCGAAAUGUAAAUAACCUCAACCAUUUUACUAAAGUUUUAUGGUUUUAAUUGAUAAACCUAAUUUCACUCGUCAUUUUUACAUUCUUAUCCUUGAUAUUGUUACUCGUAUUCAAUUAAAUUGUUAUUUGUAUUUUUAA